CCUACGGGAGGCAGCAGUGAGGAAUAUUGGUCAAUGGACGAGAGUCUGAACCAGCCACGUCGCGUGAAGGAUGACUGCCCUAUGGGUUGUAAACUUCUUUUAUAUGGGAAUAAAAUGUUCCACGUGUGGACUUUUGUAUGUCCCAUAUGAAUAAGGAUCGGCUAACUCCGUGCCAGCAGCCGCGGUAAUACGGAGGAUCCGAGCGUUAUCCGGAUUUAUUGGGUUUAAAGGGAGCGUAGGUGGAUUGUUAAGUCAGUUGUGAAAGUUUGCGGCUCAACCGUAAAAUUGCAGUUGAAACUGGCAGUCUUGAGUACAGUAGAGGUGGGCGGAAUUCGUGGUGUAGCGGUGAAAUGCGUAGAUAUCACGAAGAACUCCGAUUGCGAAGGCAGCUCACUGGACUGCAACUGACACUGAGGCUCGAAAGUGUGGGGAUCAAACAGGAUUAGAUACCCUAGUAGUC
rnacentral:rRNA from 1 species